rnacentral:lncRNA from 1 species
GGGAGGGGGAGAGUGAGAGGGACCUACCAACCAAAAAAUGGCGGCGGAAGUUCAGCUGAGCAGCAACAUGAGGAAAGCUCUCCUGGUUCUGAAUUGUGUGAUUCUCUCAAUUGGAAACUGCGGUGGUCCCUUGGUGAUGCGCCUGUAUUUCGUUCUUGGCGGCGAGAGAAUAUGGUUUUCCAGUUGGUUGGAAACGGUUGGGUGGCCCUUGAUCCUAGUCCCUCUCAUCAUCACUUACAUGCACCGCCGAACCAAGCAAGACUCCCAUGCCAAACUCUUCUUCAUGAAACCUCCUCUGUUCGUGGCCUCCGCUGUUAUCGGUGUCCUCACCGGAUUCGAUGACUACCUCUAUGCCUAUGGCGUAGCAAAACUGCCCGUUUCAACAUCAGCUCUCAUUGUCGCAAGCCAGCUCGCUUUCACAGCAGCCUUCGCGUUCCUCUUGGUGAAACAAAAGUUCACCUCAUACUCCGUAAAUGCCAUAUUUCUGUUGAGUAUCGGUGCCGGUGUCUUGGCUUUACACACUAGCUCCGACCGCCCUACUAAUGAGUCCAACAAAGAAUAUUACCUCGGGUUUGUCAUGACACUUGCAGCUGCAGCGCUCUAUGGUUUCAUUCUCCCCUUGGUUGAAUUAACCUACAAGAAAACAAAGCAGGCAAUAACCUACUCACUGGUCAUGGAGAUUCAAAUGGUGAUGUGCUUCUUCGCCACCGUCUUUUGCACAGUGGGGAUGUUGGUUAAUAAUGACUUUCAGGUGCAUUUCUCUUUUCUCUCCACUCAAUUACCCUAACAUAUUCAACCAGAUAGAAGAUUGAUAAUUUAUGUUUGCUUCUUCCUCAUUUAAUUUUGUAGGCAAUUUCCAGAGAAGCAAAAGAAUACGAGCUUGGAGAAGCUAAAUAUUAUCUGGUGGUGGUAUGGAAUGGGAUCAUAUGGCAGUGUUUCUUCUUAGUAUCAAUAGGAGUCAUCUUUAGCGCUUCAUCUUUGGUAUGCGGUAUUGUGAUUACUGUCCUACUCCCCGUGACAGAGAUCUUGGCUGUUAUUUUCUUCCGAGAAAAAUUUCAAGCAGAGAAGGGGGUUUCACUGGCUCUCUCUCUGUGGGGCUUUGUUUCCUACUUCUACGGCGAGAUAAAGGAUAGCAAGAAAAAGAAGAAUCCCACUUCCGAGACGGAGCUGCCUCAAACGGUCAAUCCAUGACAAACAAAUAUCUUUCUUAUUCCCCGGAAGGCAAGGGACAGGAUUACAUAUAAGCAUUUACCAGGUAAUUUAAAGAAAUACUUCGUCCGUAUGUUAACAGGCAGUUUAGCUGAUUCACCAAAUCUGUGUAAAGGAAAUGCUUGAAUUUCGUUCCUAAAUACAUGCUUGAAUAUUGAAUUUACUUGAAUUCUACAACCGCUGUGAGCGGAACAUGUUGAAAAUGAGAUCAUUUAAUUGUUCUAUAUAAGAUAAUUUCAAGAAUGAGCAAGUCUUGUUUUUUUAGUUUUCAAUUUUAGUGGUUUAUGAAAUCACAGAAAAAAGAUCAUGGGUGUUUUCAAAUUUAGAGUUUUUAUCUACCAUCAACUCAACAACCUCUGAUCCCAAUAACCACUUGCACUCAUUUGGAGGUAGGUGUCAACUACUCUCGUCAACUGCCACAGUAUCAAAUGAACCACAACAACUAUAUUUUCCAUAUUUUGUAGUGGAUGAUAUUGAUAUGAAGCGAAUAAGACGCGAGCUGCGCUCACAGGCUAGGACUUUAAUUGGUGAAGCCUCCCAACUCAUAUAGUCAACUCGCUCGAAAUUCAGUUGUUAAAGUUUUCUAAUAAAUAAAACAGUUAUUUUAAAAUAUAAAAAUUUAAAUUAUAUCAUAAAAUACUAAGGUAAAGAAAUUAGAAAAUACUAAAAUAUCAAUUCCAUAUAUAUCAAGCUUUCGAUUUUGAUCAUUAAAAGUAUAUAAUAAAAUUUAAGCCUGUGAAUAAUGAUUACUACUCAAAAAGUGUUAUUUGAUAGCCUGUAAUUAAUCCUUUUAAACACUUUUGAGUAGUAGUUUAGGCCUUUUAACUCAAUUGGCAUGUUAAGGAUCCUUUAAAGCAAUUUUGAUCACUUUGUGUAAGUUUUGGUGUUUUUGUUAGUAUUUUGAUCACCAAAACAAGUCAAGACUGAGGAGAGCUAUGAGGAAUCUUGGGUAAAGCUUAGAAGUCAUUUUCCAAGAGUGAAUCCGGAUUGCAAGGAGAAAAAGCAAAGAGAAUCUGCCAUAAAGCAUAUUCUUGAUGACAGUCGUAGCAGCCACUUUUAGAGCACUUUAUGAAGUCCAAAUGAUGCAUGCUAUAUACCAUUUUAAAGCUCAGGAAGUCAACAAUCCAAUGCUUCAAACGGUGUGCAAUUCGGAGUUGAAACGAAGAAGUUGCAGCCAUUACAAGCCAAUCACUCCGAGCUGAAGAAAACAUUUUGCAAAGUGCUGCGAAAUCACCCUUUUGUUGCGAAGUGAUUUCGCAGCAUUUUUGUACAGUAAGGUGUUUCUCCUUCUGACGAUGCACGAACCAUGCCGCGAGAAGGGAGCUGGGAACCUCAAGGUGGAAGCCAACUUCGCAGCCAUGUGAAGAUAGCUCGGUGUUGCGAAAUAAUUUCGCAGCCCUCUUGGGUGUCUGCGAAAUUUCGCAGACACCAUAUUUCUCCUGCGAAAUGGUUCCUGAAGCCUCCCGAAGCUUGCUACCGACAUUGGGAGAUAUUUUCCAUUAGAUUUUUGUUGUCUAAAUCCCAAAAUACUCCUUGUAAACCACCAAUUACAUGAUUCCUUAGUUUUUAAGUUAGUAAAAAGACUAAAUAUCUUUGUAACAAUUAGUUUUAUAUUAUGUUGAUAUAUAUACCUCUCGAGAGCCUGUUCUCAGGGAGGAGUUCCUUUUGUAAACCGUUUGGGUAAGCAAGUAAAGGUCUUUUUCUUUCUACUGCCUUACCUUCUCACUUUGUAUUUUCAGUUUAUUUCUAAGUUAUGAAUUCUCUGAGGAGUUUUCCCCAGAGAAUGAGUAACUAAACCUCUAAUUCCUUGGAGCUAAGGUUGCCGGGGAAGGUUCCAAGUGCAAGAAUGCAAAGCUUUGUGGUUUUAGCUAGUAAUGAAGAGGAAGUGAAAUCCUUUAGUGAUUUCUAUGUUUUUAGUUAACUUAAAACACCUUGGAGUUACCUGGGCCAACACUUGGUAAGGCAAGUGAUUUUCAACCAUGGAAAUGCACUAGUUUACCCCUUGCGAGCCUCUGGGAGGUGACUUCAGGGUAGGAUUUUCUAGAAUAGCCAACACUUGGUAAGCUUUUGGACUCCUAGGAGGCAUCCAUUAGUUAUCUCUUGCGAGCUUUUGACGGGUAAUCCAAGGUUAAAGAUCACCUUGAAUGGUUAAGGCUUAGUGAGAGGCUUAAACCAUUGCAAGUUGCAUCAGUGAGAGAAUUAAAGUGAAAUCUAAUUGAAGGAGUCUCUGUACAUCACCGGUUAGAGAAUUGACUAUGUGUUGAAUCUCUAAUGCGAGGAAAUGAACCAUCUGACCAAAGCCGUGUCUUUUGCAUGAGGAACCACCCCAGUGAACCUAAAUCUCUAAGGAAUGCUUUUCUUCCUAAAUUAUUCCAAACUUCUGUUAAGUUAGUUAGUUUAAGUCUCAACUUUUACCAAUCAAAGUUUGUGUUUUACUUCUUAAGCUAACCAUAAAAUGAAACAAGACCAAUUCACUUGGAAUUGGUAUCAUUGAUUGCUUGUUAGUCAUUCCCAGUGAACGACCCUAGAGCCACUAUACUAUAGUAGCUUUUUCUUUGCUACCCUAGUGUAUGGUGUUAUAGGUAAUAAAUUUUGUUGAUCACUUCCUCAAUCAAGGAGCACCAGCUGAACACCAAUCAGCUGAGACACCAAUUGAGCAUGAAUCAAAUAAGAUUACGAAUAUAUGGAUUCAAUAUAUAAACGAGUGGGAUGGAACAUGACUCAAAUGAAUAAGGCAUAAAAAAGACAAAUAAUAAUGAUGCCAGACUAUAUAUGUGAUAAUGAUGAUAGAUUGUAGAUGGAGAUGGAUUUCAUAUAAAAAUAAGGAUUUUAUAUUUAAAAUUCAUUUUUAAAGAAUAAAAUACAUUAAAAAACAGUUAAACAUAAAUCGAAGACUUUUUUACUUUAAAUUUCUCUCAAAAGGAAAUUUUAUAAAUAAAAUAAAUUUAUACGAGUAUUAAUCGACAAAAUUUCAAAUCAACAAUAAUUCUUGCAUUUGUAUCAAACUUUAAAAGAUGUAAGUGAAAUUAAUCCUAUUUUUGGAUUGUUAUUUAUAUCAAAUCUUCCCCAUCUUAAUUCCAACCCAAACCAAACUUGACAUGGAUUGGGUGGAACAACUUUAACAAAACUUCAAGUUGUCAUCUCUAAUGUUAGUUUGGAAUAGAAAAUAAAAAUGAAACAAUUUCAUUCUCCUCUAUUAAUGUAUCCAGACUAUUUAUUACGAUGAAAAUUAGAAUAAAAAGUUCAUUAGUAUAUAAACCAAAUCUGCCUAUGAAUAAAAAAACAGUAGAUAAAUACUCUAAGGUUACUUUGGAAUAGAGAAUAAGAAUGGAAGAAUUUCAUUCUUCUUUAUUAAUGGAUCCAGAUUGUUGUUUACAAUGAGAAUAAGAGAAUUAGAAUAAAAAUUUCGUUAGUAGGUAAACCAAAUCUGCCAAUGAAAAAAAAAGACCACAGAUAAAUCAAAUCUCACUUUUACAAUAAUUUUGAUUCAUUCUUUUGUACAUGAUAGUGUGAUUCACUUUCAUUCUCUUUCUAUUCCACUUUUCUACUUUUCCACCUACCACUCAUCCUAGUCGUAAUGUGAUUAUUGUGUCUCGUAUCUUUGGUAAAGAGAACCAACCGACUAUAUCUCAACAAAGCGUCCAUCAUUUAUGCCAUGCAGCGUACAUCAUGCGAAAGAGCCAAUGAGCGUUUCACAUAUGGUAUAGCAAAACUGCCCAUUUCAACAUCUGCUCUCAUUAUCGCAAGCCAGCUCGCUUUCACAGCAGCCUUUGCAUUCCUCUUGGUGAAACAAAAGUUUACUUCAUACUUCGUAAAUGCCAUAUUUCUUUUGAGUAUCGGUGCUGGUGUCUUGGCUCUACACAAUAGCUCUGACUACCCCGCCAACGAAUCUAACAAAGAAUAUUAUCUCGGGUUUUUCAUGAUACUAGCAGCUGCAACGCUCUAUGGUUUCAUUUUCCCGUUGGUUGAAUUAACCUACAAGAAAGCAAAGCAGGCAAUAACCUACUCACUGGUCAUGGAGAUUCAAAUGGUGAUGUGCUUCUUCGCCACCGUCUUUUGCACAGUGGGGAUUGUUGAUGCCUCGCGUCCCAGGGAUCCACACAGCUGCCAAGUGGACGCGCGCUUUCAACCAAGAAUGAAUUCUGGCUCAGUCGAUCCUGCAAAAGAUGUCCGGACACAUCCUCCGAUGGUUUUGUUAGUCAUGGCUCAAUGGAUCAGGCUGUUGCCCUUUUUUCUGAGUUAGCUGACUUACCUUCUUCUUUGCAUGAAGGUUCUUUUAUAUAGUGUCAGAAGCUCCGCUCCCCUCUUUAAUGGCGGGAAGACUUUUUGGCUUGUCAUGAUGUCCCUGAGGUGAUGGCAGAAUCAUCAUCACCUUCCAAACGGCUGUUAGAAAUCGUGGGAGGUGACUUGUCAUCACUCCUGUCCUUUCGCUCUACAGGCGGCGAAACGUGGGCUAUGACAGGUUGUCUGGGGUGACUCAGCAUGGCUUACUUUUUAUGGUCAAUGAUCCGGACAAUGUAUUCGGAUAGAAUAGAGCACAGUCCGGGUAUAAUAUUUGAGAGUGUCGUGUGUCUCCUUGAGGGACCUGGAUAGAGCUGGCGUGCCAUGUGGACUCUGAGGGGGUCCCUACAAUGCCCCCCUUUUAACCUGGCGAUUUUGUCCUGGCAGAAUGGGUAGGUUAAAAAAAAUGAUGACUUUGAAAGUUUGGUUGUUUUUUGCGUUUAUUGUGCCAUGUGGCGGUGCGGAGGCGAAAAGAAGGAAGAGCAUUUAUGGCGAGCCGCCAUCCUUGGGAAUUCCUAUGCGGCAUGUCGUUUCAAUAGCAGCGUGGCUGGGAGUUUGGAAUACCGAGGGGUUGUCUCCCUUUAAAUAGUAGACCCAGCCCCCACAACUGCAUUUCUUCCUUCUGCAUUUCUGUUGCUAGUGUUUUCGUUUAGGUUCUUUGUGUAUUCUUGCCUGUGAGUGAAGUUCUAGGGCUUUUGCUAGCGACAUUCGCGUCGUGAGGGUGACUGCAUCGCGGCCUUCGUCCUCAUUUGCCAGUUUGCACCAGGUACGUUCUCUAUUUCUACCUUCUCUCCAUUGGGUUUCUUUUUUAUUUUAUCUUGCUUGUUAGGUAGGUUGCUUGCGAUUGAGGGUCGGUGCUGGUGUUUAGGGAUUUUUCCGGGGGGGGGGGGGGGGGGNNNNNNNNNNNNNNNNNNNNNNNNNNNNNNNNNNNNNNNNNNNNNNNNNNNNNNNNNNNNNNNNNNNNNNNNNNNNNNNNNNNNNNNNNNNNNNNNNNNNUUUGGGGUUUUUCCAAGCCACUUUCGGUUGGGGGGGGGGAGUGCUUGGGGCCUUUCUCCUUUUUUUCCCGUUUUCCCCCGGGACCUUUUUUUUUUUCUCCUUUUUCCCCAGGGGUUUUUUUUUUUUUUUUUUUUUCUUUUUUGGGUGGUUGUUUGGGGUUGGGGGGGGGGGGUGGGUUUUUGGGAUUUUUCCGGGGGGGGGGGGGGGGGGGGGUUUGCUUUCGUUUUGGGCCUGUUGGGGUUCCUGUUGCCCCCUAUAGCCUUUGCGGGUGACUGGUCCUACUUUGGGGUAGAGUCAAGGGUUAGGUUGGGGAUGUUGGCUAUUUUAGGCUUUCUGGGCGUUUUUUGCUAUUAGGGUUAUGGGGCCGGGUCCUUCUAUUUUACUGUUGGCAUUUCGCCAUGCAGGUUCCGUUUCGGCCCCAUACUUUAAAAUGCCUGCGAAAAAGGACGUAGCUUCGUCCAGUGCGGUUGGGCCCAGCGGAAAGAAUGCGUCCGGGGUGGUCUAUGCGGAGAAGCCUGUUGACAAGCUGAACGUGAGGCAGUUUUGUGAACGCUUCUGCAUUCCGAACGGCGUAUCCGUUCAGCUUGUGGACGGAGAGGUCGUAUCCACCGAGAAAUCUGUGGACAACGCUAUCUAUUUCUCUAAGGAGCAAUUCAACGCGGGGCUUCGGUUCUUUCUCCCGUCUCUCUUCAAAGAGUUUCUUCACUUCACCAAGAUCCCUCCGGCCUACAUCCAUCCCAACAUAGUCCGGGUGUUGAUGGGGUGCAGCAUUUUGAACAUGUUGUUCAACUUGGAUCUUUUGCUGCUGGGGGUCCAUUUCAUCUACUCCAUCAAGAAGGGGAAAACUGACCUCUUCAACUUGUUUACCCAUAUCCCGUCCCUCCAAUUGGUGACUAAUCUCCCAGAUUCGAUGAAGGGGAGAGCCAAAGGACAUGUACUAGUCAAGGGUGUUUAGGCUGGACUGUCGGAACAUCCGGAGAGAUUGUUUUCCCUAAAUCGUUCACUGGCGCUCCCGGGGUAGGGUAGAUUUUCGAGUUUGUCCGGCGUGCAUUUCUUGUUCUUUUACUUUCGUGUUAUCAGAUGGCUAACUUUUUUGGUUGUGGGCAACGUAGGUAAGUCCAAGAGGGACCGCCUAGUCGAGUGGGUGGAGAAAGCCUCUUUUGAUCGCUUGAACAAGCUGUUCGAGAUUACUGCUACUAAGAGGCAUUAUCAGACGUUGCUCACUACUCGGAACCUGUUGGCAGUUGUCCGGGAGCCUCACCCGUACGUCACCAACAUUCUCCCUAGGCGAUUGCCAAAACGUGUAGUGUCUUGGGAGCAUUUUGUGUUGAAAGAUUUGCCCUUCUACGAGAGGGCUCGCAAGGCUAACACAAAGGCGCGCCAGGAGCGCCUUAACCAGCAAGAGGAGAAGAGGCAGAAGGGGACAUUGAGGAAAGCACCUGGUGAGAAGGGGCGCGACUCUUCCCCAGCCGCCUUCCCCCGGCCACAAAAGAAAAGAAGAAGACGAAGAAGACUCGUGCGCAGGUGCUCUAGAUAGUGGCCCCAACUCUUGAGGCUUCGUCUUCGUCUUGCAGGUCCGAGCCCAAUCAGCCGGACCACACUAUUCCGGAGUCUAAGGAGGUUGAGGAACCUGAGGCCAUCACCAGUUCGCCACAGCUUGAAACCUUCCAUCCGGGGCCUAGCUUUCCCCAGCCGCAGUCGGAGUUUGUUGGCUUGAGGGUCGUGGAUGAGCCAGAGGAAAUGAGAGAUGCAAACGACCUUAGGGCGGGGCUUUUGCAAAGACAUCGACCUUGGCCCCCCCAGUUAAGAAAGUUUGUCCGGAGCAGGGUGGAGAGGACCCGACGCCAGAAUUUUGGCUUCAGCUGUGACUCGUCCAGACGAGGUGGGUAUUAGCGCAACUUCCACGGCUCAGCCGGAUGCCGCAGGGUCUAGCGCGGCGGCAACGGUUCAGGCCAACGCUUCGGGGCCUAGCUCAACGACUGCUGCUCAAUCGAGUACAACUGCCUUCGGCAAUGCCCCGACUGCUGUGGAGACCCAUGCGUCAGAGGGGGUUCCGGAUGCGUCGAACGACGAGAAGGCUUCGGACGAAAAGAGCAGUCCUGCUGUUGCAGUUCCUCCAAGCUAGGAGGAAAUGAUGGAGAUGCUGAAAGGAGUGCCAUGCUUCACGGAUGUAGAGACGCCUUCCACGAGGAUGUCAGACUUCUUCCCUUUGACCAAACGUGUCUCUGUGAACAUGGGUGGGGACCCUCCUGCUUUUGUCAAGGCGCGGCUCCCUUUUGGCGCUCCUGAGUCCAUCGUAUCUUGCAUUCAACACCUAUAGGAAUGGACGAUUCCAGAGACUGUAGAAGUGGUAAAUACUUCUUUGCUGUUUUUCUCUUCUUUCUUAGCAGUUGCUACUUUUCCAUGUAACAUUGUCUGUUGUUUUGUUGUUGCUUUGCCCAUGUUGUAGCCGGCAUCCACUACAUGAUGUGCACACGCGAGCAGCUUUUCAAGCGGCUGGAAUUGGUGGAGGCCAUGCAUGCCUUUAUCUCCCAACAUCCGGGUGGCAUCGAGGAGCUGCGCGCCAAGUUGGAGAAGGUGGAGGCCGAAUUGGCCGCUGCUCGGAAAGCUGUGGCGGAUGGGACGGAGCAACUAGGUCGGGUUGAAGGGGAUAAGGAGACUAUCCGGGCCGAGGCUGACAUCCUGAAGAAAGAAAAGCAAGCCUUGGAGGGCUAAGUCAAUGCAGCUGGGCAGGAGAACCUCCAGUUGAAGAGAGAGACGGAUGAACUCCUGGAUAGCCUUGCCGCCCAGAAGAAGGAGUCAGAGGAUUUGCGGGAGGGUCUGGCGGCUCAAAAGGAGAAAAUGGAGGCUAGGUUCGCCGCUCAGAAGAAGGAGAUGGAGGAGGAAUACCAGAAGCAGGCAGACGAGAUGUAUUUCUUUGGCUACCGUUGUUGUAUGAAGAAACACGGAAUUAUGCAUGAUAUUCCUUCUUUCCUUUCUGAUGAGGAAGAUACAACACCUGGGGGUCCGUCCAGCUGAAACUUCCUUCUGUACAGACUUUAUAAUUUUUCCUCUUUGUUUUGCUGCACAUGGGGCAGUUAUUUUUGUAAAGACACUUUUUACUUAUUUAUAAAUACAUUACAUUUCUUCUGUUUUUUGCUUACUCCUCAUUUCCUUUCAUUGAUAAUACUGCUUAAGAUUGGAUACAUUUCAUGGACGGAGCAGCGAGGUUCCAUCUAGCUUCUAUAGAUGAUAGACUCCACUUUCACUUGUCUUGGACACAAUGUAAGGGUCUUCCCAAUUUGCUUGGAAUUUUCCUGCUCCCUUUUCAGCAGUGUUCUUGAAAACCUUUAUGAGGACCAACGUUCCACCUUUGAAGCUCUUGGGUCGUGCCUUGCGUUUGUAGUGAGCUGCCGCCCUUUGUAGGUAGUCGGUCAUUCGAAUGGAUGCGUUCUCUCUCACUUCAUCCACCCAGUCCAAAUUUCUUCCUAGUUCCACAUUUGCAUCACCCUGUCGUCCUACCUCAAUCCGGAUAGUGGGUAGGCCUAUUUCUGUAGGGAUGACUACAUCCAUACCGUAUGCGAGGGCGAAGGGAGUGUUUCCUGUUGGUCACCCGGGUGUGCUUCGAUAGGCCCAUAGGACGCCGGGUAACUCCUCUACCCACUUCCAUUUGGCUUGCCCGAGCCUCUUCUUUAAGGUAGUUACCAGGGUUUUGUUUUUGCCUCUGCCUGUCCAUUGCUUUGAGGAUAAUGUGGUGUGGAGUAUAAAUUCCAGAUGUUAAGUUCCGAACAGAAAUUCCAGAAAGUGAUGCUAUCAAACUGCGGGUCGUUAUCAGCUAUAAUGGUUUGAGGGAUUCCAAAGCGACAGAUGAUGUUCUUCCAUACGAACUUGGUGAUGUCUUUGUCCUUGAUGCUAGCGUAUGCUUCAUCUUCUACCCAUUUACUGAAGUAAUCUGUGGUGACGAGUAGAAAUUUCUUCUAGGCAACUGCGGCUGGUAGGGGUCUUACUAUGUCCAUCCCCCAUUGCGCGAAGGGUCAGAGGCUAGAAAUUAGUUUUAAUGUCUCAGAUGGUGCAUGCGGUAUGAGGGCAUGCCUCUGGCAUUUGUCACACUUCUUGACAUAAGCUGCCGCAUCUUUCUCAUCGUGGGCCAAUAAUAUCCUUGCGAGUGGGCCUGAUGAGCUAGAGAUCGACCUCUAGAAUGAUUGUCGCACACACCCUCAUGUAACUCAUCCAAUACAUACAAGGCUUCCGAGUGAUCCAGGCACCUAAGGUAGGGGCCUGUGAAGGAUCGCUUGUAGAGGUGCCCCCCGAUUAGGGUGAAACGGGCGGCUUGUACUCAGAUCUUAUGUGCCUGCCUGGGUUCUUCGGGCAAAGUUCCUAUUCGGAGAUACCUUAUUAUGACUUUCGUCCAUUCUUAGCCGUCUGUUUGGCUCGCCUCAAUAGUAUUGCAAGUGGAGGCUUCUGUGAUGGAGGGGUCAGUUUGCACGUGUAUGGGCAAUAAUAUGGCCUCUUUGAUGGGGAGGGAAACGGCUAUCCCUGCCAGGGUGUCGGCACGUCCAUUAUCAGCUCAUGGAAUUUUUUUCGAUUGUUCAUUCGACAAACCGUUGCAGGGUGUCUCUUACUUUAGUCAGAUAUCGCGCCAUGCGUUCAUCUUUGGCUUCGUAUUCCUCCUGGACGUGUCUUACCACGAGUUGGGAAUCACUGUAGAUUCGAAGCUUGGAGACAGAUAAGGCCAAGGCAAGAUCUAAUCCGAAUAGGAUGGCUUAAUAUUCUAUUUCAUUGUUAGACGCGAGGAAUCCCAGUCGAAUAGCUUGCUCUAGCUGUUCUCCCGUUGGGGAUUGCAGUAGGAGCCCUACUCCGGAUCCUGAUGACCGAGAGGCUUCAUCAACCCGCAAGGUCCACCACUCUUCUUCGCAUGGUUCUUUGCGUUGAGCAGGUUUUUGAGAGUAUUUUAGCAUGAAGUCAGCCAUUACCUGCCCUUUCAUGGACAAUCUCGGUUGGUAUUCAAUUUCGUACUCGCUCAACUCUAUGGCCCAUUGAAGCAUUCUUCCGGUCAGGUCCGGCUUGUGCAGGAUGUUGCGAAGGGGCUGGUCGAUCAGCACGACCACUGGGUGGGCUUGGAAGUAAGGGCGGAGCUUCUAGGCGGCACUUCGAAUGGCCAAAGCUGUUUGCUCCAUCUUUGAGUACCUUGUUUCUACGUCAGUCAAUGCCCUGCUAACAUAAUAAAUAGGUUUUUGCUCCUUAUGCGAGGGGCAGUGGAAUAAAACAGCACUAAUUGCCCACUCUGAUACAGCCAGAUACAUAUACAAUUUUUCUCCAGGGAGGGGGCUGCUUAGAAUGGGUAGUUGUAUGAGGUAGUGCUUGAUUUUCUCGAAAACGCUCUGGCAGCUGUUCGUCUACCCGUUCGCAUCGGCUUUUCGUAUUGCCAAGAAGAAGAGUCGCAAUUCAUCAGUGAAGCGGGCUAUGAAACGCCCUAGUGCGACAAGCUUGCUUGUGAGGCGAUGUAAUUCAUUUUUGCUCCUAGGGGGUGGUGUUUCCAUGACUACCUUAACUUGAUCCCUCUUUGGCUGACCAUGAACCUUAGGAAUUUUCCAGCACUUACGCCGAAAGCGCAUUUGGACGGAUUCAGUUUCAUGUCAUACUUCCUUAAGAUGUGGAAGACUUCUUGUAAGUGAAAGGCAUGUUCACUUCGGGUUUUGCUCUUAACCACGAUAUCAUCGAUGUAUAUCUCCACUGUGCGGCCAACUAGAGGUUUGAAGAUCUUCGUCAUCAAUCUCUAAUAGGUGGCGCCAUCGUUUUUAAGUCCGAAUGGCAUGACUUUAUAACAAUAAAGCUCAUGCAGCGUUAUAAAGGCUGUCUUUUCUUCGUCGACCGGAGCUAUGGGGAUUUGGUGGUACCCGGAGAAGGCAUCCAAGAAGGAGAGCAUUCCCUAUCCGGCGGUGGAGUCUACGAUCUGGUCUAUCCGUGGUAGAGGGAAACUGUCUUUUGGGCAUGCGUUGUUGAGGUUGGUGUAAUCGACGCACACUCGCCAUUUGCCUUCUUUUUUGGGGACCACUACUACAUUUGCUAACCAGUCCGGAUACUCCACUUCUCUAAUAAAUCCGACCUCCAGCAAUUUGUCAAUCUCAUCCUGGAUAAUUUUUUGCCUGUCUGGGUGAAAAUGUCUAACCCUCUGUCGGACAAGUCUUGUUGUUGGCAAGACGUUAAGCCUAUGAGAGGUGAUUGAAGGGUGGUUCCCUUCAUGUCAAAAUGCGGCCAUGCAAAGACGUCAUGGCUUUGUCGGAGGGCGUCGUGGAUGUCUUGUGCUUCUUCGGGUGUCAAGAGGGAACUGAUAUGUGUGAGGUGAGUACUUUCUUCCGAUAUCUUGAUUGUCUGCAAGGGAUUCACUGCCGAGGGAUCUUUGUCCUCCGGAUUCAGUAAUUGUUAUUGGUCAAGUGCGCUGGUGGGUUCAGGGAGGGGCUCGUCGCCCUUGCUGAUCCCACCUUCUAGCACUAUCUGAUAGCACUGGCGGGCAGCCAACUGGCUACCGUAUAGAUUGGUUUGUCCAUCUUUAGUAAGAAAGCUCACCAUCUGAUGGUACGUGGAAGGGAUUGCUUUCAUAUAGUACAACCACGCGCGUCCUAAGAUGACGUUGAAGGGGGACAAAUCUCCUACCACUGAAAAUUGUACGUUAAGGGUGACUUGGACUGGCAGCACAAUGUCUCCAAGGGAGGUGGUUGCUACGCCAUUAAAUCCCAACAAGACCCACCCAGGAUUUUCUAAGUCGGAUAGUUCGAGACCCAUUUGAUUAACUACUGAUGCCUGCAAAAGAUCGAUCGAGCUUCCUGGGUUGAUUAGGAUCUAUCUUACAUCAAAGUCUCCCAUCACCAGAGAUAGGAUGAGGGCGUCACGGUGCGGUUGUAGUAUUCGCGUGGGAUCUACGGGAGGAAAAAUGAUUGUCCCAUCUACUGGCUGGGCACUUCCCUCAGUUGCUCCGGUCUAAAUGGUAUUGACGCGCUCGCGUACCGAUGUCGCCCGCAGCAACUUCUGCCUCUUUCUUUUGGAGUUGUACUCCUCAUCCAGAGGUCCUCCAUGAAUAUAAUUGAUGAUGGCUUUGGGGGAGAUUGGGGUCCUGAGGGACCCGGAAUCGCGAUUUCGGGGGGUAUCUCUACCUCUGGCAUCUGAGCAGAGGUAUUGCUUCAAAUGUCCCACUUUUAUGGGCCUUUCCACCAAAUACUGGAGACUCCUGCACGUCUUCAUAGUGUGACCAUGCUCCUUAUGGUAGGCACACUUCUGGCAAUGAUCUCUUUUGGCUGGGUCCGUUCUGAGGGGUCCGGGCCACCUGAAGCCGGACAGGUCCUGGAUCAUAGGGAGGAGUUUCUCAUAUGAUAUGGAAAGGGGUGUGAGUGGUGGCAGUUCUGGGCGACUGGGCUCUCCCUGCCUUCGUUCGGACGGCCUUGACCGGUCUAGAAGUUUGGAACUUCUUUCCGCACCGGUUCUGUAUGUCUGCCCAGCAACCAAAAUUUGUUGGGUGGCCGCACGCACGUCGUCUUCCAGCAUUGAGUAUUUGCUCGCGCGCCGGAACAGGUCAUCCAUUGUCGUGGGAGGCUUCUUAGCGAGCGACUUGAAGAAUGGAGUGCCUGGGCAUAUGCUUCGUUUGAAGAUCUGAAGGACAACAUCCAUGCUAUAAGCCUCUACUUGUAACACAGCUUGACCGAACCGUUUCACUAAUUCUCUCAAAGACUCAUUCUCCUGCAUUUUUAUGUUUUGCAGAGUGCUGAUGUUCUGUUUAUGCCGAGCGGAACACAAGUAUUGCCCCACAAAAGCUUCCGACAGGUCCCUGAAGUUAUCAACAGAGUUCGGGGGUAGUCGGUGAAACCAUGAGAGAGCCUGACCUUGUAGGCUGGUGGGGAAUACUUUGCAUAGCAACGCGUCGUUUCCUAUAUCGAGAGUCAUGAGUUGUCGAUAAUGCAUGAUAUGGUCGAAGGGAUCGCUGGACCCAUCAUACGUGGAAAAUUUUGGUACGAGAAAUCUCCUUGGGGAGUCGUAAUGAAUAAUAUGUGAGCAAAAAGGCAUGGAAAGCAUGUCAUCCAGCCUCUUGCUGAUGGAGCCAGUGGGUGGCUCAUUUGGAGAGUUUCUUCCAGCUUGUCGUACCGCUUGGUGCGGGAGGAUGUUCUACACAACGAGUGCGAUCAAAGGGUUAGGGUACGCUUCCCAAGUUGUGGCCACUGGUGGCCUUAUCUUCCCAGGCUCCUGUGGGCCUAGCCUUGCGCGCAUCGCGUCCGACAGUUGGGGUCUCUUGUCGCGUUGUCUCUUUGAUGAGAGAUGAGUAGAAUCUAAGCUUUCAUCCUGGGGAGCUUGGUGCAUGGGCGUGGGCCGUUCUUGAGGUUGAUUAUUGCACCUCAGGAAUGACCCCCGCAAUCCCAAGAUAUAUCGAUUCUGGAUCAGGCCUCGAAUUUGCUCCCUGGCCUCUUGAGCGCUGGCCAUGAGAAGGCCCCGUCGAUGAAGCCUGGAUGCGUAACACAGUGUUUUCUUCUCUCAAUCUCGUUGUUUCUUGGAGGAGAGCCUGCAUUUGUCGCUUACUCUCCAACUUUCGUCUUUCCAUGGCUUCACGCCAUUCGAAAUAACCUUCACCUCCUCUAGCCGACGAGUGGCUCCUAGAAGGUGUGGACAUCUUCGCCGUCGACUGAGCAAAGUGUUCCCACAGACGGCGCCAAUGUUGAUGCCUUGCGUCCCAAGGAUCCACGCAGCUGCCAAGUGGACGGCGCUUUCAACCAAGAAUGAAUUCUGGCUCAGUCGAUCCUACAAAAGAUGUCCGGACACACCCUUCGAUGGUUUUGUUAGCCAUGGCUCAAUGGAUCAGGCUGUUGCCCUUUUUUCUGAGUUAGUUGGCCUACCUUCUUCUUUGCGUGAAGGUUCUUUUAUAUAGUGUCAGAAGCUCUGCUCCCCUCUUUAAUGGCGGGAAGACUUUUUGGCUUGUCAUGAUGUCUCUGAGGUGAUGGCAGAAUCAUCAUCACCUCCCAGGAGGCUGUCAAAAAUCGUGGGAGGUGACUUGCCAUCACUCCUGUCCUUUCGCUCUGCAGACGAUGAAACAUGGGCUGUGAUUUUAGUUAUCUCCGUCGGUGAAGCUUGAGGAGGAAAAAACAAAACACAAGGUCAUUUCGAUACUCUACGUACUCUUUAGGCUUUACCUGGACAUUAAGAAGAUAAUCAAAGAUUCCAAAGCAGAAUAUGACGAGAGGGAGGUUUGUGGUUUGGUACGUAUUGUAGCUUCAGAUUUGGUCUGUCCCAUAGAGUAAAAGUGAUGGUCCCCAGUUUAAAGCAACGAGGUAAUUUUAUCAUUGAAUUUGCUAGAUUUAGAAGGAUUCAUCGUUUCAAUAUGAUGCCACUUAUUAAUUGUUUCCCGGUAUUCCAGACAUGCUCUUGCUUACAACUCCAAGACAAACGCAUCUCUUUAGAGGCACUGUCCUUGAGAAAUGGUGAUGUUCCUCCAAGCUGUGAGAAAAUCCAAGGGGUUUUUCCCGAGGAUUCUCAAUGUGUGGCCCCGUUGGGUUGAACUGUCCGGGUUAGAAGGUGGAGUGGACUGGGUUGGCUCAACCAUCUCGGAAUAUGGAUUCUGCGUCAAGGGUUCGGCUGCAUCAUGUUGGAGAUGGACUGAUUGGCCCAUGUUUUUGUAAGGGAGUCGAAUCUCAGAGACUGGGCCUAGAUUGAGAAAUUGCAACCAUGCAAUAAAGCCCGUGUGACGUGCUCUUGGAGAUCAAAACAUGAUCCGUAUAACAAACAACCUACUGCCGACCUACACCACAGAUCGUGGUGCUGGCCACCCGUACGGUCUAGAGACCACAUGUACAAGCUCAUGACGCUAUUCCUUCCUAUCACCAAUUUGGAAAUGGCCCACCUAAGAAACAUGUAGCCAUGAUCAAACGGGAAUCCCAUGAUGAGAAAUUGUAGAGAAGAGUUAAAAAUAAAAAAUAAAAAGAAGAAAAAAGAAAGGUCAAUACCACUCGAUCAGGUUCCAGAAAAGGGCAUGUGGAAUAAGAAAUUAAUGCACUGAACGCGAACCAUGGCAGUCCCUCUAUGACAACACCAGUUAAUAGUCGUGUUGUGUCCCCACCUUCUGGAAAUGCCAUCCCUCCCACCAAAUCUCGGUAAUCAAAAUAAAAUGGGUUAUUAUCUUCAACUGCUUGCGUGCCCAAAUCAAUCACGUUUCCGAUAAGCAGUAUAGUUAGUUCUCUCAUUAACAUUUCUUCAGGAUCAAGGAUAUUAUUGAUUUUCAUUGACUUGCUCCUAUUUUGCAUUGGUUGAUGGAGAUAAACACACACAUAUUAAUCCUGAUCUUAAAAAUUGGUAUUAAAUCUGUUCAAGGAACCUAGUCAAGGAAAGCAUAAUCUUGAUUGAAACCUUGCACGCACAGCAUUGUCCACUUGUGGUUUAGCCUGGAUGCUUCUGAAAGCAUCAUGAAUGGAUUCCGAGACUUGUGGUUUAUGCCUGCAUGUUUCUGAAAGCAUCGUGGAUAGGUUCCAAGACCUCAUCAUUACUAGUUUCCCACCCCAAAAUUCCAAGAAGCCACCAAAAUACUCCUUUGAAUGGCUGCACAGGAUUUACACACUAGAAGAAGCCAAAAAAAUGAGACCCUUGGCUGAAGCAUAAUUGGACCCUUGUAAGUCUUUUACUAGAAGAAGCCAAAAAAAUGGGACCCUUUGGCUGAAGCAUAAUUGGACCUUUGUAAGUCUCUUAAUAGAAGAAGCCAAAACAAUGGGACCCCUUGGCUGAAGCAUAAUUGGGACUCUUCAGGCACAUACGGCAUGUGCAAAUAUCUAGAUAUUUUAAUCCCAAGUAAAAUGAUGCUCCUUUUUUCGUAUUCUUUUGUUUGACGUAUGCAUCAGGAUCGGACCGCAUCUAUGUUAUUUUUUAUUCCAAAUUUCAAAUAAAGACGAGACUUCGCUACAAAAUUGUCAACGCCUUUGGGACCCAUAAACCUUUUCUCAAACAAUGAUUAAAGGCAAAUUUUUGUAUUGAUAUAAUGCAACUAGCCAACCAUAUGGGUGUAAGGAUGAGCAUGCAAUCCCAUCAAAAUGGCUUCUGGACCCACACUAUCUUAGUUCGUGGCAGUCAAAUCGCAAUAUAAUAGACGGGGAGUGUUAGAUUUUCUUAAUGAGGUCCAGAAGUCUUGUCCAUAAUCUUUAGGAAUAAUACUAGACUUUGUCAAAUGGGUCUAAAAAUCUAACCCAUAAUAUUUUGACAUUUCCGUCUAUGUAAUCAUGGUUAGGUCCCUAAUUCUUUAACCUCUAUUCACACACAUGUAUCAUCGUUUAAGAUUGAUUAAAAGUUUAAAAACAUCACAACUUAUUUCAAUAUCAAAUUUGAUUUUCGAAUUCCUGAACUAUCAACUAUAGAAAAUAUGUUUUGAUUCUUCAUUUAUUUUUAUAUUUAAUAUAUGUCAUUAAGGUUUUAAGCAUAUUUAGAUUGAUUUUAACACUUAUAAUUGGUAUUAAAACCAUUUUAUUGUCUCUACCUUAAUUAUGUGCAACCUAAAAAAAUUGAUUAUGUGCCUUAAUUAUUUUCUUUUAAUCCUUAUGGUAAAAAAAAUUUCUUACGAAUUUGGAAGAAAACUGUUUGUAUUAUGCUUUUGAAAGAUGAAGAAGUCAAGUUUUGGGCAUGAAAAAUGAGGGCUAUUAAUAUCCAAUCGAUCCCUACCUCCCCUUACAACUUUUACAGUGCAAUGGCCUAGCUAUACCCCUAUUGAUGGGAGCAAGUUGUAGAGUUAUGAUUGUAUGUUGUCCAUAUUAUAGAGAUUUUGAUAUAGUGGUUUAUAGUUUUGAAUCAUUCUUUACAACUUGUAACAAUUGUAUCAUUAUUCCUUUUAAGAGAAAAGGGGUAUAUAGUGGUUAAUAUGUCCUUGUCAACACCCUUUAAAAUCAAAUCCCACAUUUUCUUCAUAAAGUAAUAUAGAUUAGGUACGAACUUCCAGUUUUUAAAUCUGGAAAGCUAUCAAAAAUUAGACAUUUAUACCAAUAAAAAAUAUGAAAAUUUUCCAGAAAUUUAAAAUUUUGGAUAUUUUGUGAAAAUUUCAUAAAUUUGGUAUUUUUGUGAAAAAAAAAAAUCAUAUUUUUGGUGUUUUUAUGAAAAAUACAUAAAUUUGGCAUUUUAUGAAAACCAUUUUGUGGAAUUAAAAUUUGGAUAUUUAUGUGCUUAAAAUCAUGUCUUUUUUGUAUGUAUAAUUUAUUGUUUUCAUUAUAUAUGUAAUUUGAAUUUUUACUAUAUAAAUUUAAACAGUGUUCAUAUAUGUAAAUAUUGCUUAUGGUUGCAUGCAAUUUAUAUAAACAGUUUUGUGAAUAAAAUUAAAUAUCUAUUGAUCUAUAUAAUUUUAAUUAAUUAGGGAUUAGCCACAACAUCUUUAAUUAUGUAAAAUUAUAUAUUAAGUACUUUAGGAUCACAUAUAUAAAAAUGACAUUGAUUGUAAUUAAUCAUAUUUAAAUAUAAUAAAUUUUAUCCUUUAUCAUAUUUGUAUUAUUAAUAAUGAUAGAAUAUCAAAUUAUAUUCUUAAUUUACCUAUAGGAAUUAGGAAAGGAACAUAAUUGAUAGUUUUAUCAUAAAGUUAGAUGAAUCUAAUUGAAUUAGAACUUUAGUACACAUACAAGUUUUAUGUCACUACUUCAUAUUUUUGAAACAUGAUUUAUAUUGGUAAAACAUGAUAUAUAUUUAUUAACCUCAAAUUACUAUUAUAUAAGCAUGUAUGUUUAAUAUUUAUGCAGUUAUGCAAUCUGUGAAUUUUUCCGAUAUAAGAUGUGAUAUUCUUGAACUAAAGGGUGACAACUACAAAGUAUGAAAGGAAAGAAUUCUCUUUCAUUUGAGGUAGAUGGACAUUGAUUAUGUUAUUAGGAAAGACGAACCAAGCAUUACCACAACUAGCACUGUAGAUGAAAAGGCUCUUUAUAAAUGAUGGGUGUGAUCCAAUUGCCUUAGUGUGAUGUUCAUAAAAAACAAAAUCUCUACUGGUAUUCAAUGUUCAGUUGAUCAACAUGAUAAAGUUAAGGCAUUAUUAAAGGCUACUGAUGAACAAUUUCAAACUUCAGAUGAGACACUUGCCAGUACCUUGAUUAUGAAGUUUUCAUCCUUAAGGCUCACCAGUGUAAGAAGUGUAUGUGAACACAUCAUGCAAAUGAGGGACAUUGUAACUCAACUAAAAACUCUUGAGGUUGAAAUGUUUGAAUCUUUCCUUGUGCACUACAUACUGAACACUUUUCCACAACAACUUCUGACCAUGUGUGUUCAAGAGGUAUGGAGGUUGGUAAUGGAAAUUGGUGAGAAUGCAUUAUUCGCAAAACAAGGAAAUAACCAAAACCAAGCCAAAAAAAAAAAAAAAAAAGGAAAGGUAAAAUACUGCCCCAAUGAGAAAUAAAAAAAGAAUCCAAGUGCUUCAUCUGCAAAAAGAAAGGACACAUGAAGAAAAAUUGCUCCAAAUUUCAUAAAUGACUUGAGAAAAAAGGUAAACCAAUCUCAUUUGUUUGUUAUGAAUCUAAUAUGGUUGAUGUUAAGCAUGACACAUUGUGGAUUGAUUCUAGUUCUACAAUCCAUAUUUCAAAUACCUUGUAGGGUACACAAAACCUAAGGAAGCUAGUGGGAAGUGAGUAGUGCAUCUAUUCAAGAAACAAGAUGCAUUCAUAUGUAAAAGCUCUUGGAACAUGCACUUUAGUUUUAAGUAGUGGUUUUGUUCUAAAUUUGGAAAAGACAUUUUACAUUCCAAGUUUUUCUAAGAAUUUGAUUUCAGUUUCAAGACUUGUUCCUUUUGGUUAGUCCUUUUAACUUUUCAAAAACAUCAUUUAGUUUAUUUUAUAAAUCUAAUCUUGUUGGGAAUGGUACAUUGUCUAAUAGUCUUUUCUUUAUUAAUUUGCAAAAUGAUACUACUCAUAAUGUUAUGCAUCUUCACACUGGUGUUAAACGAUGUGUUAUGAAUGAAGAUUCCUUUAUGUUAUAGCACCGAAGAUCAAAACAUAUCUCAAUAGAAAGAAUUAAGAGAUUAGUAAAUUAUGGAGUAUUUAGUACUUUGGAUUUUACUGAUUUUGAUAUUUGUAUGAACUUCAAUAAGAGAAAAUAGAUCAACAAGUAAAAAAAAAUGUGCUAAAAGGAGCAUAGACAUAUUGAAGAUCAUACAUUCAGACAUUUGUAGUCUAGACAUGGACUCAUAUGGUCUAAAAUACUUCAUCUCUUUCAUAAACGAUUACUCAUGAUACAUGUAUCUCUACUUGCUUCAUAACAAGAAUGAAACAUUAAAUGUUGUCAAGUUUUUAAGGCCAAAUUAGAAAAUCAAUAUGGAAACAAAUUAAGAUAAUGAGAACAAAUAGAGAUGGAGAAUAUUAUGGUAAAUACACUAACGAUGGACAAACACCCGGUCCAUUUGUGAAGUUUCUUCAAGAGCAUGGGAUAGUUGCCCAAUAUACCAUGUAUGGUUCUCCAUACUAGAAUGGCAUAGCAGAAAAAAUAAACUGAAUGUUAUUGGACAUGAUACAGAGUAUGCUUAGUAGCUCCAAGCUUAUUAAAUCCUUGUAGACUGAAGCUUUUAAAAUGACAAUGUAUAUAUUGAACCGAGUCCCAACUAAUGUUGCCCUAAAAACGUCAUUUGAAUUAUGGAAAGAUUGGAAACCGAGUUUGCAACAUAUACGCAUUUGGGGAUGCCCAUUUGAAGUAAGAGUUUACCACCCACAAGAGAAUAAACUAGACCUAAGGACCAUUAGUGGAUUUUUCGUUGGAUAUGCAAAAAGGUCUAAAUGGUACAUAUUCUACUAUCCCACAACACUAGGAUUGUGUAAUCAAGAAAUGCAAAAUUCCUUGAGAAUGACUUGUUCAAUGAGAAUAUCAAACCUAAAGCAUAGUCUCUGAGAAAGAUCAAUCUUCCAUUUCAAGUGAAAGGUUGGUUAUUAUUCACAACACCUCUCAAGUUCAAAUGGGAGUUGAGCAACCAAUCGUUGAAGUUCCACAAGCUAUUGAGAAUAAUCCAAUAGAUUAAGUUGUUCAGGAAAUGCCAAAAAUUGUUGAACAACCAAUUGAACAACAUAAUCCUCAGGAAAAUUUUGAUUCAACAUUAAAGAGAUCUACUAGAGCAAGGAAAUUAGCAAUUCCUAGUGAUUAUGUUAUGUAUCUAAAAUAAUUGGAUUAUAACAUUUGAGCCGAAAAUGAUCUUGAAACAUUUUCACAAGCCAUUAGUUGCGAAAGAUCAAAUUUAUGGUACAAUGCCAUGAAGGAUGAGAUGAAUUCUAUGGCAUCUAACGAAGUCUAGAAUCUUGUUGAGUUGUCUGAUAGUGCAAAAGUCAUAGGAUGUAAAUAGGCUUUUAAGACAAAAAAAGACUCAUUGGACAAUAUUGAAAGAUAUAAAGCAAGACUUGUUGCUAAAAAAUUCACUUAAAAGGAAAUAAUCGACUAUAAGGAGUCCUUCUCUCCUAUAUCUAAGAAAGAUUAUUUUCGUAUUAGUAUGACAUUGGUUACACAUUUUGAUUUAGAGGUACAACAAAUGGAUGUGAAAAUGGCUUUCCUUAAUAAAGAUCUAAAGGAAGAAGUUUACAUAAAACAACCAAAAGAAAUUUCCUCUAGAGAUGGUGAGCAUUUGGUGUGCAAGCUCAAGAAAUCCAUAUAUGGAUUGAAACAAGUCUCCCGUUAGUGGUACUUGAAAUUCCAUGAUGUUCGUUAUCUCUUCGUGUGGGUCUGUAGAGAAUAGUAUAAAUCAAUGUAUAUACCAGAAAGUUAGUAAGAGUAAAAUAUGUUUACUUAUUCUAUAUGUGGAUGACAUUUUACUUGCAACUAAUGAUAAGGGUUUGCUACAUGAGGUAAAACAAUUUCUAUUUAAAAACUGACAUGAAAUAUUUGGGUGAUGCUUCUUAUGUCAUUGGCAUUAAGAUACAUAGAGAUAGAUUUUGAGAAAUUUUGGGUUUGUCUCAAAAAACCUAUAUCAACAAAGUUUUAGAGAGAUUUUGGAUAAAAUAUUGUUCACCAAGUAUAGCUCCUAUUGUGAAUGGUGACAGGUUCAAUUUGCACUAGUGCCCAAAAAAUGAUAUUGAAAUGAAACAAAUGAAGAACAUUUCAUAUGUUUCUGUUGUUGGAAACUUAAUGUAUGCUCAAGUCUACAUAAGACUUGACAUUACAUUUUUUGUUAGGAUGUUAAGAAAAUAUCAAAGUAAUUCAGGUACAAACCACUGAAGAGUUGCAAAAAAUGUGUUAAGGUGUUUUCAAGGGACGAAGGACUACGUACUUAUGUAUAAACGGACUAAUAAUCUGGAGGUGAUUAGCUACUCAAAUUCAAACUUUGUUGGUUGUGUUGAUUCACAAAAAUCAACUUCUAGAUUCAUUUUUAUGUUCGUUGGUGGAAUUGUAUCCUGGAGGAGUGCAAAGCAAACUUUGUCUACUACUUCCACUAUAGAGGCUGAGUUUAUAUCUUGUUUUGAGGUUACCUCGCAUGGUGUAUGGAGGAAAAGUUUCAUUUUUUAACUUAGAAUUAUAGAUUCAAUUUCUAAGCUAUUUAGGAUAUAUUGCAACAAUUUAUGUGUAGUUUUUAUGGCUAAAAACAAUAAAAGUGGUAGUCGAAGCAAACACAUCAACAUCAAGUAUUUAGUCAUAAGGGAACAUGUUAAGAAGAAAAUAAUGGUUAUUGAAUACAUCAGCACUGAGUUGAUGAUAGUUGAUCCUUUGACAAAAGGCAUGCCACCAUUGAAAUUCAAGAAUCAUGUGAAUAGAAUGGGACUUCAUUCCUUUAUAUGAUUUUCGUUGUAAUAAUGAAUGUUAUUUGUGAUGAAACUUUAUUAAUGUGAUAAUAUUUUCUCUUAUUUGUUUCUAAUUUGUAUACACAUUCAUUCAUUUGAGAAAUAUUACUAAUGUUUGGACCUGAAAUAAACCUUAGGCUUAUUCAUUAAGUAAUGAAGGCAAGUGUUUAAGAGACAUGAUGCAUUGUGAUACAUGGAAGAUAAUACUUGUUUCAGAGAAUCUAUUGUCAUGAUUUGUGUAUUUUGUUUCUUACUAUGGUGAAUGAUGGAAUAUAUAGACCAAGUGGGAUAAUAUUAGAUUUUCCUAAACAGAUCUAGAAAUCUGGCCUAUAAUCUUCCAUUAAUUUUGGGAAUAAUGCUAGACUUAAAUAGGUCUAGAAAUGCUGUCUCUAUUAUUCUAGAAUUUCUAUUGAUUUAGUUUUACAUUUUUAUUGUCAUUAACAACCAUAAAUAAAUUAUGGUAUUGACUCUGUGAUGGGCAGGGUAAAUAUAAAUAGAGCCUUCGUGGUUAGGUCUCUAAGCUUUUGACUUCGAUUUUUAUUCAAAUACAUAUACACUAUUGUUUAAAAUUGAUUAAGAGUUUAGAAGCACCUCAACCCAUUUGAAGAUCAAAUUUGAUUUCUAAAUUCUCAAAUUGAGGUAUGUUCCUCUUCUCCUUUAUUUCCGCAUUUGAUAUAGGCUACACUGGAAGGACCCAGUGUUGUCUCUAUAAUUGACUCUUAUUUCGUCGUCAUGUUUCCGCCUCAAAAAACCCCGAUUCCUUGUUUACACACUGCUACCAAAGGGGAUAGAUUCCUUGUUUACACACUGCUACCACAGGGGAGAGAGGAGGAGAGCUACCAACCAAACAAUGGAGGUUGAAGCUCAGCUGAGCAGCAACACGAGGAAGGCUCUGCUGGUUCUGAGUUGUGUGAUUCUCUCAAUUGGACACUGCGGUGGUCCCUUGGUGAUGCGCCUAUACUUCGUCCGUGGCGGCGAGAGGAUAUGGUUUUCCAGUUGGUUGGAAACGGCUGGGUGGCCCUUGAUCCUAGUCCCUCUCAUCAUCACUUACAUGCACCGCCGAACUAAGCAAGGCUCCCAUGCCAAGCUCUUCUUCAUGAAACCUCCUCUGUUCGUAGCCUCCGCUGUUAUCGGUGUCCUCACCGCCCUCGAUGACUACCUCUACGCUUAUGGCGUAGCAAAACUGCCCGUUUCAACAAUUGCUCUCAUCAUCGCAAGCCAGCUCGCUUUCACAGCAGCCUUCGCAUUCCUCUUAGUGAAACAAAAGUUCACCUCAUACUCCGUAAAUGCCAUAUUUCUCUUGAGUAUUGGUGCUGGUGUCUUGGCUCUACACACUAGCUCCGACCGCCCUGCUAAUGAGUCCAACAAAGAAUAUUACCUCGGGUUUUUCAUGACACUUGCAGCUGCAGCGCUCUAUGGUUUCAUUCUCCCCCUGGUUGAAUUAACAUACAAGAAAGCAAAGCAGGCAAUAACCUACUCACUGGUCAUGGAGAUUCAAAUGGUGAUGUGCUUCUUCGCCACCUUCUUUUGCACAGUGGGGAUGCUGGUUAAUAAUGACUUUCAGGUGUAUUCCUCUUUUCUAUCCACCCAGUUACCUUUAACACAUUCAACCAGAUAGAACCACCAAAAACAAAGAUUGAUAAUUUAUGUUUGCUUCUUCCUCAUUUAAUUUUGUAGGCAAUUCCCAGAGAGGCAAAAGAAUACGAGCUUGGAGAAGCUAAAUAUUAUCUGGUGGUGGUAUGGAAUGGGAUCAUGUGGCAGUGCUUCUACUUAGGAGCAAUAGGAGUCAUCUUUUGCGCUUCAUCUUUGGUAGCCGGUAUUGUGCUUGCUGUCCUACUCCCCGUGACUGAGAUCUUGGCUGUUAUUUUCUUCCACGACAAAUUUCAAGCAGAGAAGGGGGUUUCACUUGCUCUCUCUCUUUGGGGUUUUGUUUCAUACUUCUACGGCGAGAUAAAGGAUAGCAAGAAAAAGAAGAAUCCCACUCCGGAGACGGAGCUGCCUCAAACAGUCAAUCCAUGAUAAACAAAUGUCUUUCUUUUCCCCACAGAAGAGGGGGGACAGGAUUCGCAUAUAAGCAUUUACUAGGGAAUUUAAAGAAACACUUCAUCUGUAUGUUACAGGCAGUUCAUAACCAAGACUAAAGUGGGUUUCUUUCCAGUUUUGAGAUGAAGGAAUUCCAAUAAAAUAUGGACUGUAAGGUCAAGGCGUGCUAAAUGUGAAGUCGAUACAGAGUGGGAAAAUAUGACAUAUUUUGAGACUUAAUAGUCAUAUCCAAUUUCUAUUAUCUAUAAUAUUAUAUAGUAUUAUAAAAUAAUCUCUCUCAUCCUUGGAUAUGGUUAAACUAUGUUAAAAUUUGAGUAUUCUGUUUAUGGUUGGUUUUAUCUCUGUAUGUUCUUAUUACAGCUUCCACUUAACACAUCAACUUAGUAUUAAAACCUUGGUUGAAUAUUUUUUAGAAGAACCAAAGAUAAUAGAAGAUUGUGGUCCAUGAAAAAAACCCUAACACACACUAUCAAUGUACAAUAGUGUAUACCAUAAAUAAAUAAAAAAGAAGAAAUAUUCACUUAAACGAAAUUUUUAACAGUAGAAAUGGUUGAAAAAUGCUUCCAAUUCCUAAAGAAUAUUUUAAAUAUUGAUUGGGAACUUGCAACAUUUCCCAAUAUUAGAAUCAAUAAGGAAACGGUCUUACUGAGAAAGAAUUGAAGUCAUCGUCAUCCAGGCAAGAUGAUGGGCCAUUAAGGUUAGGUUGGGAUCAAGAGAAGCUGGAUAUGGAUUGUUUUGUUAAUCCAGUAUAACUUAAAAGCUUAAUUAAGUUAUGUAAUAGUGGACCAACAGUGCACUUUGCACUGAUUUGGGUUACAUGUUAGGGUCGUAGCCCAAGUAGGUUGAUAUAUGAUGGUGGACCAACAACUGCAUGCGAAUGAAUGGCUAUGUGAAUUUCCUAAGACUCGGUUCAUUUCAACUUCUACUGAUUGCAUCGAAACUUUCGGGAAGAAUUGGCGUAUGGAUCUUCCCUAAAUGGGUGUUGACGCCGCCAAAAUAGGCACCUCCAAAUACAUGGCCUUAAGCCACCUACAGCAUAGCCGCCCAAGACGCAAGCAUCUGUAGCUAUCCAAAACGAGCUCGGCUAAAAAUAAGUGCCUGCAUAUGAGAUAUGACUCACAUCCAGGACUGGCAGGUUGACCGAACUGACCCUCAAAAGAAGGCCUCACCAACUCUUAAACAUUAUCGGAACAGGCUGGCAGGCUUUAACACAUGCCCUAACCAUAUAAACGUAAAAAAAAAAAAAAAGAAAAAAAAAAAGAAGAAGAUCAUAAUAAGACAAAAAGGGGAGAAAGAAAUUCUCUCGUCUACAGGUGUCGAAGCUUCAUUCAACACAGAGUUGUAAGAUUACCAAUGUUGGGUGCAGACCUAUCCUUUCUAGUUAUCUCCGCCGGUGAAGCUUGAGGAGGAAAAACAAACCACAAGGUCAUUUCGAUACUCUACUCUUUAGGCUUUACCUGGACACUAAGAAGAUAAUCAAAGAUUACAAAGCAGAAUAUGAGGAGGGAGGUUUGUGGUUUGGUACGUAUUGUAGCUUCAGAUUUGGUCUGUCCCAUAGAGUAAAAGUGAUGGUCCCCAGUUCAAAGCAACGAGGUAAGAGUUUUAUCACUGAAUUUGCUGGAUUUAGAAGGAUUCAUCGUUUCAAUAUGACGCCACUUAUUUAUUGUUUCGGGGUAUUCCAGGCAUGCUCUUGCUUACAAUUCCAAGACAAACGCAUCUCUUUAGAGGCACUGUCCUUGAGAAAUGGUAAAGUUCCUCCAAGCUGUGAGAAAAUCCAAGGGGUUUUUCCCGAGGAUUCUCCAUGUAUGGCCCCGUUGGGUUGAACCGUACGGGUUAGAAGGUGGAGUGGACUGAGUUGGCUCAACCAUCUUGGAAUAUGGAUUCAGCGUCAAGGAUUCGGCUGCACCAUGUUGGAGAUGGACUGACUGGCCCAUGUGUUCUGUAAGGGAGUCCAAUGGGCACCCAUGCAAUAAAAGCCCGUGUGACGUGCUCUUGGAGAUCAAAACAUGAUCCGUACAAUACAACUUACUGCCGACCUACGCCACAGGUCGUGGCGCUGGCACCCGUAGGGUCUAGAGACCACAUAUUCAAACUGAUAAUUACAGUAUUCAUUCCUGUCACCAAUUUCGAAAUGGCCCACCCAAGAAACAUGUGGAGCUUUCACCCAAAAUAUUGCGUUUUAAAAAAAAAUUUCAAAAAAUAAAGUUGUUUUAAAAAUAAUGUACGAUGUAAUAAAUAUAUACCACAUAAGCUGUCAUGGCAUAAAACUGUAGUUGAUGACUACGGUUUUAUUUUUUUAAAAUGGUUAGAAACCGUAGUUACCAACCACGGUUUUAACUUUAAGUUUAAAGCCGUAGUUGGUGACUACGGCUUUGACAUUUUUUUAAAAUGGUCAAAGUCAUAGUUACCAACUACGAUUUUAACUUUAUAUAUAUUUAUAUAUAACUUUAAUUUUUUUAAUAAAAAUAUUAUAUUAUUUUGAUUUUAAAUAUACUUAUUUCAUUAUUUUAAAAAUAAUAAUAUAUGAAAUUAAAUAAAUGAUAUUUUUAAUUUGAUAUAAAUAUAUUUUUAAAUUUUAUUAAAAUAAUAUAUUCUAUAUUUAAUAUAAAUAUAUUUAUUUAAUUAUAUUUAAAUAUAAAUAAAAUAUAAUAAAUUAUGAAAGCCUAUUAAAAAACAAAUAAUAUAAAUUAUUAUAUUAAUUAAUAAUUUUUUAUAUACUAUAUGUAAGUGGUAUAUAAUGUCACAUGUAUAUAAGUUCAAUUAAGUUUAAAAUUUAUCAUAUUUUAAUUUAAGUUCAUAAUAUUAUAUCGAUAUGAUAAUAAUUUAUUUAUAUAUUUAAAUAAAUAUGCUAAAUUUUAAACUUAAAUUAAAAUUAUAUAUAUAUAUAUAUAUGUGUGUGUGAUAUUAUAUACUAUUUACAUAUAAUAUAUAAAAAAAUUAUUAAUUAAUAUAAUAAUUCAUAUUAUUUUUUUCUCCAAAUAGGCAUUUAUAAUUUAUUUAUUUUAAAUAAACAUAAUUUAUUAUAUUUCAUUUAUAUUUAAUUUUAAUUAAAUAAUUAUAUUUAUAUUAAAUAUAGUGUCAAUUGUUUUAAUAAAAUUUAUUUAUAUAUUUAAAAAUAAUGUGAUAAAUUUUAAACUUAAAUUAAACUUUUAUAUAUAUAUAUAUAUAUAUAUAUAUAUAUAUGUGUGUGAGAGAGAGAGGUAUUAUAUACCACUUAUAUAUAAUAUAUAAAAAAAUUAUUAAUUAAUAUAAUAAUUUAUAUUACUUUUUUAUUUUUCUAAAUAGGUAUUUAUAAUUUAUUUAUUUUAAAUAAAUAUAAUUUAUUAUAUUUUAUUUUAAUUAAUUAAUUAUAUUUAUAUUAAAUAUAGUGCCUAUUGUUUUAAUAAAAUUUAAAAUAUAUUUUUAUAUCAAAUUAAAAAUAUCAAUUAUUUAAUUUCGUAUAUUAUUAUUUUUAAAAUAAUAAAAUAAGUAUAUUUAAAAUCAAAGUAAUAUAAUAUUUUUAUUAAAAAAAUUAAAAUUAUAUAUAAAUAUAUAUAAAGUUAAAACCGCAGUUGGUGACUACGGUUUUGACCAUUUUUAAAAAAAAAAAUCAAAGUCGUAGUCACUAACUACGACUUUAAACUUAAAGUUAAAACCGUGGUUGGUAACUACGGUUUCUAACCACUUAAAAAAAUAAAACCGUAGUCACCAACUACAGUUUUAUGACAUGGCAGUUUAUGUAGCACAGACGCAUUAGAUCGGUCAUUAUUUUCAAAGCAAUUUUAUUUUUUGGAAUUUUUUUUUAAAACACACUAUUUUGGGUCAAAGCUCAAUGGCCAUCAAACGGGGAAUCACGUGAUGAGAAAUUGAAGAGAAGAAUUAAAAACAAAAAAUAAAUAAAAAGAAGAAAAGGAAAGGUCAAUACCCCUCAAUCAGUUUCAAGAAAAGGGCAUGUGUUAUGAGCAAUGCACUGAAACGCGAACCAUUUCAGCCCUCCAAAGGACAACACAAGUUAAUAGCCCGUGUGGUCCCAACCUUCUGGAAAUACGAUUCCUCCCACCAAAUCUUGGUAAUCAAAAUAAAAUGGGUUAUCAUCUUCAACUGCUUUGCAUGCCUAAUGAACAUUGUUUUCGAUUACCAGUAUAGUUAGUUCUCUCAUUAACAUUUCUUCAGGAUCAAGGAUAUUGUUUUCAUUGACUUGCUCCUAUUUUGCAUUUGUUGAUGGAGAUACACAACGCACACACAUUAAUCCUAAUCUUAAAAAAUGGUAUUAAAUCUGUUCAAGGAAGCUAAGCAGGAAGAGCAUAAAACCUUGCAUUCACAGCAUUGUCGAUUUGUGAUUUAGCCCGGAUGCUUCUGAAAGCAUUAUGGAUAGGUUCGAAGCCCUCAGAAAUUAGACUAAUGCCAUGUUUACGUCAUCAUUACUAGCUUUCACACCAAAAUUCCAAAAAGAUAAACGCUAUGGUAUUAGUUUAAUGUUUAUCUCAUUGCCACCACACUAGUCAUCUAGAAGGUUUUACUGCUUUGAAUGGCUGCACAGGGUUUACACAAUAGAAGUAAAAAAAUGGGGCCUCUUCGCUGAAGCAUAAUUGGACUCUUGUGAGUCUAACCAUUAAUCUGGAACUGGAAAGCUGCCCUCUUUUAUUUAACUCCUAUAAUGAAGAUAAUGAUCCGAGACAUCAAUGUUUUCAACGAAAACUGGAUCGCUACACUUGGAUGUCCAGCAAAUUUUCAAUUUAAAUAAUGUACAAGACAAUCAAGGAGGUGAAAAAAAUUGAUGAAGCGAAUCAACAGUUUCUGAUACCAAUUUCAGGCACAUACGGCAUGUGCAAAUAUCUAGAUAUUUUAAUCCCAAAUAAAAUAAUGGUUCCUUUUUUCGUUUUCUUUUGUUUGACGUAUGCAUCAGGAACGGAACAUAUCUUAUAUUAUUUUGAUUCCAAAUUUCAAAUGAAGACGAGAUUCCAUAACUGAAUUGUCAACACGACCUUUGGGACUGAUGAACCUUAUUCAAACAAUGAUGAAAGGCAAAUUUUUGUAUUGAUAUAAUACAACUAGCCAACUGUAUGGGUGUAAGGAUCAAGGAAGACUAGGAAAUUUCGAAGGAUGAGACUACAACCCCAUCAGAAUGCCUUCUGGACCCACACUAUUUUAGUUCGUGGCAGUCAAAUCGCAAUAUAAUAGACGUAGGGAAGGACCCAAUGUUAUCACUAUAAUUGACUCUUAUUUCGUCGUCAUGCACCGCCUCAAAAAACCCGAAUUCCUCUUGGCACUGCGACUUCAAGGGAGAAGGAGAAGGAGUAGGAGAGGGGAGAGGGGAGAGGGGAGAGGGAGGGAGAGCUACCAACCGAACAGUGGAGAUGGAAGCUCAGCUGAGCAGCAACAUGAGGAAGGCUCUGCUGGUUCUGAAUUGUGUCAUUCUCUCAAUUGGAAACUGCGGUGGUCCCAUGGUGAUGCGCCUGUAUUUCGUCCGUGGCGGCGAGAGAAUAUGGUUUUCCAGUUGGUUGGAAACGGCUGGGUGGCCCUUGAUCCUAGUCCCUCUCAUCAUCACUUACAUCCACCGCCGAACCAAGCAAGGCUCCCAUGCCAAGCUCUUCUUCAUGAAACCUCCUCUGUUCGUGGCCUCCGCUGUUAUCGGUGUCCUCACCGGCUUCGAUGACUACCUCUACGCCUAUGGCGUAGCAAAACUGCCCGUUUCAACAUCUGCUCUCAUUAUCGCAAGCCAGCUCGCUUUCACAGCAGCCUUCGCGUUCCUCUUGGUGAAACAAAAGUUCACCUCAUACUCCGUAAAUGCCAUAUUUCUGUUGAGUAUCGGUGCCGGUGUCUUGGCUUUACACACUAGCUCCGACCGCCCUGCUAAUGAGUCCAACAAAGAAUAUUACCUCGGGUUUGUCAUGACACUUGCAGCUGCAGCGCUCUAUGGUUUCAUUCUCCCCUUGGUUGAAUUAACCUACAAGAAAGCAAAGCAGGCAAUAACCUACUCACUGGUCAUGGAGAUUCAAAUGGUGAUGUGCUUCUUCGCCACCGUCUUUUGCACAGUGGGGAUGCUGGUUAAUAAUGACUUUCAGGUGCAUUUCUCUUUUCUCUCCACUCAAUUACCCUAACAUAUUGAACCAGAUAGAAGAUUGAUAAUUUAUGUUUGCUUCUUCCUCAUAUAAUUUUGUAG